AUGCUUCACCAAGUCAUUGCUCUCCUGAGUUCAUUCCAAGACUUUCUCGCCUUCGCUGGCACCUCCAGAUCUUGGCGCUCCGCGGCCUCUUCAUUUCCAUCUAUAUAUACAUCCACCUUUCCCCCGCUCCACCUCAAACCUGAUGCCCGUUAUGCUCGUCGACAGCAGAAAUGCAAAUGGCAGCUUGUUGAUCCUUCCAGGACAGCUUUGCCCCCUCGUUGUUUGGCCCCGCGAAAUGCUCCAAGUUCAGCGCACUAUUUAGGUUCCUCAUACGGGUAUCUUAUAUUCUUUGAUCAGACGCAUUGCCUACUUGUCAAUGCGUACACUGGCACUAAAACGAAAUCUCCCAAACUCCGACCUGGCAACAACUUUGGGAACUACUAUUAUGGGAUUCUCACAGCUCCGCUCAAUUCGUCCAACUCGUGUCUUCUCCUUUGUUCGAACACCUCUAUGUUCCAGUGGAAGUCUGGAACACACUCAUGGGUUGAGCAGCCAUUUGCUUCUGGUGGUGCUCGCAUCCUUCAGAUCGUGUUCUUCAAAGGUCAGAUGUUUGCCAUCGACUUUCUUCAGAGAAUCCACAUUAUGCAAUUUUUGCCUCAGCUUGCCAUGCAUGAAGUAGCAGCUGUUAGGGGAGAGGACAUGGUUAUUGGCCUCCAUUUCAAGCCAUGGUUGGUGGUAUGUGGCGAGAGGCUUCUCCUGGUUGACCUAUCGGUAGUCUCUGACGAACUAUAUGGCAUCCAUGGUAAAUUUCAAGGCUUUCACCUUGACUUGUCAACGGAACCAGCCAAGUGGGUGGAGAUAGAGAAGUUGGAGAAUUGGACACUCUUUAUUACCUUUGAUAGGAGGAACCCUACAUUUUCUUGCAUGAGCCCCGAGAGGUGGGGAGGAAAGAGCAACUGCAUUUAUGUUGCGAGACCUAUUGAAGGUUCGGAUGAACCUUGGACUGCGAUCGAGCUUGGUCAACCAGUGCCGAGCACAACCAGAGCCAUUUCAUCCAGUCUAAUGAGACCGCCGGGGGCCAGUCAACUGGAGAACCUAUGGGUGCUCCCGAGCUCUGUUUAUGAUUUCGGACAGUGA
rnacentral:rRNA from 1 species